GCCUGAGUGGCUUAGUUGGUUAAGCAUCUGACUUUGGCUCAGGUCACCAUCUCACAGCUUGUGGGUUCGAGCCCUGCGUUGGGCU
rnacentral:tRNA from 1 species